GAUGAACGCUAGCGGCAGGCUUAACACAUGCAAGUCGAGGGGUAGAGGUUGCUUGCAACCUUGAGACCGGCGCACGGGUGCGUAACGCGUAUGCAACCUACCUUUUACAGAGGGAUAGCCCAGAGAAAUUUGGAUUAAUACCUCAUAGUAUAUGUUUUUCGCAUGUUAGACAUAUUAAAGUUCCAACGGUAAAAGAUGGGCAUGCGUCCUAUUAGCUAGAUGGUAAGGUAACGGCUUACCAUGGCAACGAUAGGUAGGGGUCCUGAGAGGGAGAUCCCCCACACUGGUACUGAGACACGGACCAGACUCCUACGGGAGGCAGCAGUGAGGAAUAUUGGACAAUGGGCGCAAGCCUGAUCCAGCCAUGCCGCGUGCAGGAAGAAGCAUCUAUGGUGUGUAAACUGCUUUUGUACAGGAAGAAACACCCCGACGUGUCGGGACUUGACGGUACUGUAAGAAUAAGGAUCGGCUAACUCCGUGCCAGCCGCCGCCGUAAGAC
rnacentral:rRNA from 1 species